AGCGGCGGACGGGUGAGUAACGCGUAGGAAUCUACCUAGUAGAAGGGGAUAGCCCGGGGAAACCCGGAUUAAUACCGUAUACCUCCUUCGGGAGAAAGAAGGCCUCUCUUUGAAGCUUUCGCUAUUAGAUGAGCCUGCGUAAGAUUAGCUUGUUGGUGAGGUAAAGGCUCACCAAGGCGACGAUCUUUAGCUGGUCUGAGAGGACGAUCAGCCACAUUGGGACUGAGACACGGCCCAGACUCCUACGGGAGGCAGCAGUGGGGAAUAUUGGACAAUGGGCGCAAGCCUGAUCCAGCCAUACCGCGUGUGUGAAGAAGGCCUUCGGGUUGUAAAGCACUUUAAGCAGGGAGAAAAAGUUAUAAGUUAAUACCUUAUAACCGUGAUGUUACCUGCAGAAUAAGCACCGGCUAAUUCCGUGCCAGCAGCCGCGGUAAUACGGAAGGUGCAAGCGUUAAUCGGAAUUACUGGGCGUAAAGCGCGCGUAGGUGGUUUGUUAAGUUGGAUGUGAAAGCCCUGGGCUCAACCUAGGAACCGCAUCCAAAACUAACUCACUAGAGUACGAUAGAGGGAGGUAGAAUUCAUAGUGUAGCGGUGGAAUGCGUAGAUAUUAUGAAGAAUACCAGUGGCGAAGGCGGCCUCCUGGAUCUGUACUGACACUGAAGUGCGAAAGCGUGGGUAGCGAACAGGA
rnacentral:rRNA from 1 species